CAACUCUGGGCUUUCUUCAGUUCACGCACAAAUCUUUCGCCUUUUACUAAAGAUUUCCGUGGAGAAGGCCAAAACGAUGAGUAUAUAGACGAUUUUUCUACUGUCUCACUUCGGCGGGACGA